rnacentral:rRNA from 1 species
GGAUAACAUUUGGAAACAGAUGCUAAUACCGCAUAGAUCCAAGAACCGCAUGGUUCUUGGCUGAAAGAUGGCGUAAGCUAUCGCUUUUGGAUGGACCCGCGGCGUAUUAGCUAGUUGGUGAGGUAAUGGCUCACCAAGGCGAUGAUACGUAGCCGAACUGAGAGGUUGAUCGGCCACAUUGGGACUGAGACACGGCCCAAACUCCUACGGGAGGCAGCAGUAGGGAAUCUUCCACAAUGGACGCAAGUCUGAUGGAGCAACGCCGCGUGAGUGAAGAAGGCUUUCGGGUCGUAAAACUCUGUUGUUGGAGAAGAAUGGUCGGCAGAGUAACUGUUGUCGGCGUGACGGUAUCCAACCAGAAAGCCACGGCUAACUACGUGCCAGCAGCCGCGGUAAUACGUAGGUGGCAAGCGUUAUCCGGAUUUAUUGGGCGUAAAGCGAGCGCAGGCGGUUUUUUAAGUCUGAUGUGAAAGCCCUCGGCUUAACCGAGGAAGCGCAUCGGAAACUGGGAAACUUGAGUGCAGAAGAGGACAGUGGAACUCCAUGUGUAGCGGUGAAAUGCGUAGAUAUAUGGAAGAACACCAGUGGCGAAGGCGGCUGUCUGGUCUGUAACUGACGCUGAGGCUCGAAAGCAUGGGUAGCGAACAGGAUUAGAUACCCUGGUAGUCCAU